rnacentral:rRNA from 1 species
AUGAACGCUGGCGGCGUGCCUAAUACAUGCAAGUCGAGCGAACAGACGAGGAGCUUGCUCCUCUGACGUUAGCGGCGGACGGGUGAGUAACACGUGGAUAACCUACCUAUAAGACUGGGAUAACUUCGGGAAACCGGAGCUAAUACCGGAUAACAUGUUGAACCGCAUGGUUCAACAGUGAAAGACGGUUUUGCUGUCACUUAUAGAUGGAUCCGCGUCGCAUUAGCUAGUUGGUAAGGUAACGGCUUACCAAGGCAACGAUGCGUAGCCGACCUGAGAGGGUGAUCGGCCACACUGGAACUGAGACACGGUCCAGACUCCUACGGGAGGCAGCAGUAGGGAAUCUUCCGCAAUGGGCGAAAGCCUGACGGAGCAACGCCGCGUGAGUGAAGAAGGUCUUCGGAUCGUAAAACUCUGUUAUUAGGGAAGAACAAAUGUGUAAGUAACUAUGCACGUCCUGACGGUACCUAAUCAGAAAGCCACGGCUAACUACGUG